rnacentral:rRNA from 1 species
UCCGGUGAUUUGAGCGACGUGGCACCACCCGAUCCCAUUCCGAACUCGGAAGUGAAACACGUUAGCGCUGACAAUACCUGUCUCUAAAGGGACCGGGAAGAUAGGUCAUCGCCGGGG